GGAGAUACACUUGUCAAUCGGGGAAUAUGAUAAAGAAAUUAAAGUACAAGCAAAUAAACAAGUAAGUGCAAGCACGGAAAGAAAAAAAUCUCAUUGUAAGAAGACCCAAGAGUAAGCUAUGAGACCGAAAGUCGUACUCAUUGUAAGAAGUCCCAAAAGUAACCCAAUUGUAUUUAUCUCCAAGCUAACUUAGAGUAGAUUCAUAUGGGAAUCACUCUAUAAGAAGUCGAGCAAUACUCUAUGCGUCUAAAUGAUUUUCGAAAGUUAAAUUGAAUUUUAACUCCGAGAUCACAACACAAUAAAGAUAACGACAACUAAAAUUGCUUUACAUCCCACAUGGACAAAAACAAACUUAAUAAAAGACUACACACACAUUUGAAAUCAACUAAUCAAAAUUUAAUUAACAACAUAGAAUAAAAAUAAAAAAGUAAUCAAAUUAUAAUUUCCUAGAAUCAAAAUUAAAACAAGAAAGAAGCAAACAUAGAAAUGAGGGGUUCCUCAUUGACAUGGGUGUAUUGGCAUGGAAAAAUGCAUGGUUUCAAAUUGGAUAAGCCCAAAUUCUAAAAUUAAAAAAAAAAACAUAAAACAAAAAAAGAAAAAUUAAAAGAAAAUGCAUGCUGGUAAGGGCGGUGCUCUUGUUGGAAAGAAAAGCAUGAAUUUCCAUCUUGUAAAAAAAAACAAAUACACGGCUAAUUAGAUUAUGACACAUGGCGAUGCAAUUAAAAAAAAGCAAAAAAAAAAGAACAAGUACUCUUCAAACAUGUUCAAUCUCUCUCUUGUCUUUCUUCUAAAAGAACUUGCAUUAAAAAAUCCAUUUCUACAUGAUAUUGUUCAUCCAUUUCAACUAUCAGUGCUUAUGCAAAUAAUAAGUUCAAGCAAUCAGAAACAACAUAAAAAUCCAGCGACAUUUACAAUCAAACAAUGCAUUAUUCACCUAUCUCACAUGAAAACAUAUCGAUCAAAAACAUGGAAGAUCCAAAACCUACAAAGUGAGAGUUAUACCUUCUUGCUUGUGACUCGAGUCACAUAUAUUUUCCGGUGAAUAUGGUGAUGCCGAACGGAGCUCGUCGUUGUCGAUGAUGACGUUGUAGUGAUAUAUAGUAUGAAGUACACGGUGUUCUACAAGGUGGUAAAGAUCGUCGAAGAGACAAGGUUAUUGGUGUUCGUAUAGAGUAAGCGACAAUCAUGUUGUGUAGAAGUUUGAGGGUGUGAUGGUUAGGGGUGAGCAGGUUGGAAGUUGAGGUGUUAAGGUUAUGGCAGAUCGAGUUUGUUGUUGUUUGAGAAGUUAUUUAUGGAAGUUUGGAAGUCCAAGGACGGUUGUGGUUGGAUUGAUGUGCGGUUAUAGUGUGUUGGUUCAUUUGUGUUAUGAAGGGAGAUAAAUGGUUGUUUGUGAUGAUUGUCAUGGUAUAAUGGUGUUAAUAAGUAUGUUUAGUAGAGGGUGGAAAAGUGUUAUUCACAUGGUGAUGAUUUGUGAUUUUCCAGAGUAAGGACGGUGAAUCACGGAUGGAGAAGAUGCAUAGUGUUUGCAAGGUUGAUGGAGGUAUAUGUUAAGGAAGAAGGUGAGGUGCAUGGAAUAGUUGGUUUGUGUGGUUAGAAGUGUGAGAGACCAUGAACAAUAUGUGCUUCAAGAAAAUUUGUUGAAUACCAUUGAAUGCGACGCCUGUGUUUGGAUCGGUCGAGGUUUUUGUGUGGUCACUGUAAAUAGAGUUUUAAUGGUGGGGUUUUGUAUGUUGUAGUGUAUAACAAGUGGUUAUUGAAGUUGUAUGAUCAAAAGUGAAGAGGUUAAUGUUGUAAAGGUGGUUUAUGCAGGAAAAAAAUGUGAGGAUGAGGUUCUGUGUGAGUUGUGAUGAAGAUUUGGAGCUAAGGUGGAAAGAAGAGAGGAAAGGGUGAAGAAUACGCGGUUUUCCUAAGCAAUGAAGAACAAGAAAAAUCUCUCGACCCAACAUCAAAUUUUGGUCCCCCCCC
rnacentral:lncRNA from 1 species